CUGGCAAGUUCUCAGGUACUUCACAAUCUUCCUCACUUCCAUCCUCGGCUUGGUAGAUCGGAUUUUCAAAGUUAUAAUGAACAGUAGAAGAGUUAUUACCAACAGGAUCCAGAGUGGAUAUGGAUCGGCAAAUUGUUACGUGAGUGUGUGCAAGAAAACAUAGCUUAUUUGAAAGAUGACAGGAAAGAUAAAGAGCGCAAUAUUUGAAUGCAAAAAGGUCCAUUGAUUUAUUGAAUAUGAAUAUGCUUAUGAAAAUGACAAAACCUUUAACAAAAUUUAAUACAUUAAAAUAAGCAAUAACAAUUACUCCUGACUAAAGGAAAUCAGGAUAGUGUCUUCAGCCUUCCAAUUGCCGAGUCCGUCACCAGUUGUU
rnacentral:lncRNA from 1 species